rnacentral:rRNA from 1 species
UACGAAGGGUGCAAGCGUUACUCGGAAUUACUGGGCGUAAAGCGUGCGUAGGCGGUUUGUUAAGUCCGUUGUGAAAGCCCUGGGCUCAACCUGGGAAUUGCAGUGGAUACUGGCGAGCUAGAGUGCGGUAGAGGAUGGUGGAAUUCCCGGUGUAGCGGUGAAAUGCGUAGAGAUCGGGAGGAACACCCGUGGCGAAGGCGGCCAUCUGGACCAGCACUGACGCUGAGACACGAAAGCGUGGGGAGCAAACAGG